UUUAAAUAAAGGGUUUUUUUUUCAAUUCCAUUUCACUUCUAUGAAUUUCAAUUUUUAAAGUAAGUUAAUUGAGGCGAUGAGUUAGUUUACCGAUAACUUGACUCCGCACUGAAUUGGCGGCGAUAAGUUGGCGGACUUCUUGACAAUGUCUGUGAAUUACAUAAAUAAUAAACUCGAGCAUCUGGCUUCGUUAAAACUGGGUGUAGACCUACGAAAACACCUCUAUAUAUCAUCCACAAUCAAAUGGAAAUACUGGCAGAAUAAUCGAGAACGUUAAAAUGGGUUUAAAAGAAUAUUUACCACGUAAAUGUUCUCUUAUUUAUAAUGAAUGUAAAAAGGACAUUCUUGGGGUCAUCAGGCUGUUCCUCAUUUAGGAAGCUACGUCAAUCCAUCUGUUCUGAAUGAUAUUUAAAACUCUGUUAAUAAAGAUGUUGAUUUAAUAAUAACUGAUACAGGAGCAGAUAUCGCAGACCUUGAAUAACAAAAGGAAUUAAAACAAAUCGUUUCAGAAAGAAAAGAUAUUGUUACUACAUAUGGCAUGUUUCCACGAGAUUGGAAUUAUUUAAGGUGGAAACAAAUUCGAUUAUUCUGAUGGAUAGGAUAUCUGUGAGAGAAAGGGUUACAUGCGAUUAUAUCUGUAUUUCUUGUACGGUGACAUUACAGAGAAGGUGAAUAACGGGUCAGGGAAAGACUAAAUAUUAGAGGAAUCGAAUGUUGAUAUUGUUUAUAUAGUCUCAUGUAGGCCCUGAUUGAACCAUUGAUCAAAGACAUUCCAACCGUGACCAUUCUGUAUUUUUCCUAUAAGCAAGGAACCCAAGACUCCAAUAAUCAAGAUGUUCGAUCUUUUAGGAUGUUAAUUUGAGAGAGAUUUGGCUGCUGUUUCUAGCGCGUCGAGUGACUAAUAUACAGGCUACCGCGUUGGCUCGUGGAAUCAGAUGUAACGUGCAUGAGAGAAGACUGCACUGGUUCUGACAUGUGAUGUGUAUAGAACGGGGUAAAGCUGGGUAAAAGAAUUGGCAAGUGAUUCCAAUGGAAGGAACCUGCAAAAUAGGAAGAGACAUGGGAAAAUAUAAGGGAAAAGUGGACGAAGAGCGCUGAUUUCAAGAAAUUGGGAAACCUCCUAAAGGAAAUAAUCGCAACAAGUGACGAGACGAUGGCCGAAAAACAGACUUCAUAUGUGUGCGUGUGUAUAGAUUACGAUCAUAAUGAAAAAACAAAACAGAAAAUUGUAAGGAAACAAAAUCGGGGAAGAGAGCACACUUGUGUGAUAGAUAGAUAGAUAGAUAGAUGGAUGGACGGACGGACAGAGAUAUGGAGAGAUAGACAAGCAGAUAGAUAGAUAUGGUAGUUCGUUGCAGUUCAAAAUUGACUUCGCUUCAAUUAAUGCUUUCCUUGCCUUCACAUCCAAAGGAUCAGGAGGAUGAAAAUGGUGACCCCUGACCUUCAGUUGAAUUUCUUCCACGUCCUUUUCUUUAUAAUCCAGAAUGCUCACCAAUCUCCCUUUACAUUUCGAUUUAACACAUCGCCAGUACAUGGUAUUCAAGUUGGCUUUAUCUUUUCUAUAAAUAUACUCUCUGUAAACGAUCAUAUCUGCUCCCAACGAACUCUUUAUGAUUUCCAUGACUGGCUGGGUACCCAAAUGUCUUACAAUUUUUAUUAUGUUCAAUAUUCUGAGUACAUGUGAUGGUCUUUACAACACUUAUAAUACACAAACAUGAUAGACAACGGCCACGAUCUUAAGGAAAGACGAUUUUGAGUGGAAGUAAAAAUCUGGUCGAGGUGGAGAGAAAGAAAUCUCAGUUAAAAUAAAUAAACUCAGGUUGUUAUGUCGUUGAAAAAGUACGUUAAAGUCUAGGAAAAUAACUGUAUAUUAAUAAACUACAAAGUGUAAAAAUUCAAUGGAGAACUAACUUCUAUGUUAAGUUUAAAAUCAAAGUUAAAAUACAAUACUAGUAUUUU